rnacentral:rRNA from 1 species
GACGAACGCUGGCGGCGUGCUUAACACAUGCAAGUCGAACGGAAAGGCCCUGCUUUUGUGGGGUGCUCGAGUGGCGAACGGGUGAGUAACACGUGAGUAACCUGCCCUUGACUUUGGGAUAACUUCAGGAAACUGGGGCUAAUACCGGAUAGGAGCUGCUGCUGCAUGGUGGGGGUUGGAAAGUUUCGGCGGUGGGGGAUGGACUCGCGGCUUAUCAGCUUGUUGGUGGGGUAGUGGCUUACCAAGGCUUUGACGGGUAGCCGGCCUGAGAGGGUGACCGGCCACAUUGGGACUGAGAUACGGCCCAGACUCCUACGGGAGGCAGCAGUGGGGAAUAUUGCACAGUGGGCGGAAGCCUGAUGCAGCAACGCCGCGUGCGGGAUGACGGCCUUCGGGUUGUAAACCGCUUUCGCCUGUGACGAAGCGUGAGUGACGGUAAUGGGUAAAGAAGCACCGGCUAACUACGUG